GACGAACGCUGGCGGCGUGCUUAACACAUGCAAGUCGAACGGAAAGGCCCUGCUUGCCGGGUGCUCGAGUGGCGAACGGGUGAGUAACACGUGGGUGAUCUGCCCCUUACUUUGGGAUAAGCCUGGGAAACUGGGUCUAAUACUGGAUAGGACCAUGCUGUAGGUGGUGUGGUGGAAAGAUUAGUUUCGGUAAGGGAUGAGCUCGCGGCCUAUCAGCUUGUUGGUGGGGUAAUGGCCUACCAAGGCGUCGACGGGUAGCCGGCCUGAGAGGGUGGACGGCCACAUUGGGACUGAGAUACGGCCCAGACUCCUACGGGAGGCAGCAGUGGGGAAUAUUGCACAAUGGGCGCAAGCCUGAUGCAGCGACGCCGCGUGGGGGAUGACGGCCUUCGGGUUGUAAACUCCUUUCAGCCAUGACGAAGCCCUUGUGGUGACGGUAGUGGUAGCAGAAGCACCGGCUAACUACGUG
rnacentral:rRNA from 1 species